GACAAACUACAGAGUGAGAGAGAGAGCUGUUUACUUGUGAAAGUGUUUGGCAACAGCAACUAUUACGUCUCCAUAGAACAAAAUAACUGGGAAUUUGCAAAGCAGGACUGUUUGAAUAGAAGGGCAACGCUAGUCAUCAUAAACAAUGAAGAGGAACAAAAAUUCCUCAUUUCAUUAAACAUACGUACUUGGAUCGGUCUGUCUGACAUAGAGACUAAGGGGACCUGGAGAUGGGUGGAUGGCACACCUCUGACU